rnacentral:misc_RNA from 1 species
GUACGUAGUCGUGUGCAGAGCACGGAUCAAUAACGUUCCCGCGAAAGGAUCUAGAAGCAGAGGGAUGCUCCUUCGGAAAUUACCGAGAGACAGUAUCUAGCACAACAGACACGAAGACGCCAGCGAAACUCCCACACCUUUCCGGCUCGUCGCCCGAUCUGGGACGGUCGCGUAAUAUUUUGAAAGGAACGAGUUCGCGUGAAACUGCAAUCGAUUGACCGUUAACGUCUCCGGAUUUCACGGCCCCCAAUUUCGUUUUUACGAGCUUCCCCGGAAGGAACAAUGUAUGCGAAUAAGCCUCGAACGAUCCCACAACUGUGGCACAAGUUCCUGCAGAAAUUAGAGCAACACAGUCGAUAAAUUAACUGCCGCGAUGGAACACCUCGUGGAAAGAGCUCGCCUUUAUGAAACGGAAAAUGAACGACGUCUAAGAGAUGUGGUGUUUCGUACAUAACGUCGAUGAAUCUCC